AUGCAUCUGAAUAUUUUAAACUAUUUUUCUGAUGAUAAAGCCUUCUUCAGUGAUCAAUGCAAAGAAAUAGAGGAAAAGAACAGAAUGGGAAAGACUAGAAAUCUCUUCAAGAAAAUCACAGAUACCAAGGGAACAUUUCAUGCAAAGAUGGGCUCGAUAAAGGACAGAAAUGGUAUGGACCUAACAGAAGCAGAAGAUAUUAAGAAGAGGUGGCAAGAAUACACAGAAGAACUGUACAAAAAAGAUCUUCACGACCCAGAUAAUCAUGAUGAUGUGAUCACUCAUCUAGAGCCAGACAUCUUGGAAUGUGAAGUCAAGUGGGCCUUAGAAAGCAUCGCUAUGAACAAAGCUAGUGGAGGUGAUGGAAUUCCAGUGGAGCUGUUUCAAAUCCUGAAAGAUGAUGCUAUGAAAGUGCUGCACUCAAUAUGCCAGCAAAUUUGGAAAACUCAGCAGUGGCCACAGGAGUGGAAAAGGUCAGUUUUCAUUCUAAUUCCAAAGAAAGGCAAUGCCAAAGAAUGCUCAAACUACCACACAAUUUCACUCAUCUCACAUGCUAGUAAAGUAAUGCUCAAAAUUCUCCAAGCCAGGCUUCAGCAAUACGUGAACCGUGAAAUCCCUGACAUUCAAGCUGGUUUUAGAAAAGGCAGAGGAACCAGAGAUCAAAUUGCCCACAUCUGCUGGAUCAUGGAAAAAGCAAGAGAGUUCCAGAAAAACAUCUAUUUCUGCUUUAUUGACUAUGCCAAAGCCUUUGACUGUGUGGAUCACAAUAAACUGUGGAAAAUUCUGAAAGAGAUGGGAAUACCAGACCACCUGACCUGCCUCUUGAGAAAUCUGUAUGCAGGUCAGGAAGCAACAGUUAGAACUGGACAUGGAACAACAGACUGGUUCCAAAUAGGAAAAGGAGUACGUCAAGGCUGUAUAUUGUCACCCUGCUUAUUUAACUCCUAUGCAGAGCACAUCAUCAGAAACGCUGGGCUGGAAGAAGCACAAGCUGGAAUCAAGAUUGCUGGGAGAAAUAUCAAUCACCUCAGAUAUGCAGAUGACACCACCCUUAUGGCAGAAAGUGAAGAGGAGCUAAAAAGCCUCUUGAUGAAAGUGAAAGAGGAGAGUGAAAAAGUUGGCUUAAAGCUCAACACUCAGAAAACGAAGAUCAUGGCAUCUGGUCCCAUCACUUCAUGGGAAAUAGAUGGGGAAACAGUGGCAACAGUGUCAGACUUUAUGUUUUUGGGCUCCAAAAUCACUGCAGAUGGUGAUUGUAGCCAUGAAAUUAAAAGACGCUUACUCCUUGGAACAAAAGUUAUGACCAGCCUAGAUAGCAUAUUCAAAAGCAGAGACAUUACUUUGCCGACUAAGAUCCAUCUAGUCAAGGCCUUUUUUCCUGUGGUCAUGUGUGGAUGUGAGAGUUGGACUGUGAAGAAGGCUGAGCGCCUAAGAAUCGAUGCUUUUGAACUGUGGUGUUGGAGAAGACUCUUGAGAGUUCCUUGGACUGAAAGGAGAUCCAAUCAGUCCAUUCUGAAGGAGAUCAACCCUGGGAUUUCUUUGGAAGGAAUGAUGCUAAAGCUGAAACUCCAGUACUUUGGCCACCUCAUGAGAAGAGUUGACUCAUUGGAAGAGACUCUGAUGCUGGGAGGGAUUGGGGGCAGGAGGAGAAGGGGAUGA
rnacentral:lncRNA from 1 species